rnacentral:misc_RNA from 1 species
GAUGAAGAACGCAGCGAAAUGCGAUAAGUAGUGUGAAUUGCAGAAUUCAGUGAAUCAUCGAAUCUUUGAACGCACAUUGCGCCCCUUGGUAUUCCAUGGGUCAUGCCUGUUCGAGCGUCAUUUGUACCUUCAAGCCUUGCUUGGUGUUGGGUGUUUGUCUCGCCUCUGCGCGCAGACUCGCCUCAAAACAAUUGGCAGCCGGCGUAUUGAUUUCGGAGCGCAGUACAUCUCGCGCUUUGCACUCAGAACGACGACGUCCAAAAGUACAUUUUUACACUCUUGACCUCGGAUCAGGUAGGGAUACCCGCUGAACUUAAGCAUAUCAAUAAGCGGAGGA